CACCNAACCUAUAACCGGUACGGGCCGUGGGAGCGGGAGCCCGGAGAUGGGAACUGAGACAAGGCCCCAGGCCCUACGGGGCGCAGCAGUUGCGAAAACUCCGCAAUGCACGAAAGUGUGGCGGGGCUACCCCGAGUGCCGUCCGCUGAGGAUGGCUUUUCCCUGGUGUAAGGAGCCGGGGGAAUAAGGAGAGGGCAAGUCUGGUGUCAGCCGCCGCGGUAAUACCAGCUCUCCGAGUGGUGGGGAUGCUUAUUGGGCUUAAAGCGUCCGUAGCCUGCUCUUCAAGUCUCUCGUUAAAUCCAGCGAUUCAAUCGUUGGACUGCGGGAGAUACUGUUGGGCUAGGAGGCGGGAGAAGCCGACGGUAUUUCCGGUGUAGGGGUAAAAUCCUAUAAUCCCGGGAGGACCACCAGUGGCGAAGGCGGUCGGCUAGCACGCGCUCAACGGUGAGGGACGAAAGCUGGGGGAGCAAACCGGAUUAGAUACCCGGAUAGUCCCAGCUGUAAACGAUGCGGGCUAGGUGUUGGAGUGGCCACGAGCCACUUCAGUGCCGCAGGGAAACCAUUAAGCCCGCCGCCUGGGGAGUACGGCCG
rnacentral:rRNA from 1 species